UUACGGCCAUAUCACGUUAAAACAUCGGUUCUCGUACGAUCACUGAAGUUAAGCCAUGUCGAACCUGAUUAGUACCUAGAUGGGUGACGGUUUUGAAAUACCAAGUGCUGUAA